rnacentral:pre_miRNA from 1 species
UCAAGGGAAUAAUUGAAGCUGUUAGCGUGAUCUACUUUUUAAUAACCAAAAUUUUAGCACCAAGCAUAUUCGUUUGUGUGAAACAUAACGAGACCGAUCUUUUGGCUGAAUCAUCUUUUACUAGGUCACCCUUUGACAGCUUCACUUGUUCCCUGU